AGGUGUAAGUCCAUAAUGCAGCUGAAAUGUUCAUCUUCCUCACUUGGUCCUCCCAUGCCGAAUUGAAGAAGAAAAAUCCUCCAUGGCCAUUUUUCAAUCAAGCUCUCUUAACUCCUCCAUUUCAACUCCAAUCUCUUAGGUUCCUUCAUGAAAAAUUGUCUACACAUCAUAAGGAAGAGUUUGAUACCAAAUUUGAGAAGUUUAAUCAAGGUUUGGCAAGUUCCAACCAUAAGGACACUUGGGUAUUGAGGAGGAUUUUCGGCAGCCUUGAACCUCUUGGAUAAGUGUAUGUGUUCAUGAAGAUAUAGGCAGAAUUGUAGCAUUAAGGAUUGAUGGAUAUGUAUAUGAAUUUGUUGUGUAAAGUAUAUGUAAAAAACUAGUAAUGUUUAUGUGUAUGUGUAAUUGUAUUUGGACUUUGGGAAUUAGAGUUAUAUUUGGUGUGUUGAGGAUAA